rnacentral:rRNA from 1 species
GAUGAACGCUGGCGGCGUGCCUAAUACAUGCAAGUCGAGCGAACAGAUAAGGAGCUUGCUCCUUUGACGUUAGCGGCGGACGGGUGAGUAACACGUGGGUAACCUACCUAUAAGACUGGGAUAACUUCGGGAAACCGGAGCUAAUACCGGAUAAUAUUUCGAACCGCAUGGUUCGAUAGUGAAAGAUGGUUUUGCUAUCGCUUAUAGAUGGACCCGCGCCGUACUAGCUAGUUGGUAAGGUAACGGCUUACCAAGGCGACGAUACGUAGCCGACCUGAGAGGGUGAUCGGCCACACUGGAACUGAGACACGGUCCAGACUCCUACGGGAGGCAGCAGUAGGGAAUCUUCCGCAAUGGGCGAAAGCCUGACGGAGCAACGCCGCGUGAGUGAUGAAGGUCUUCGGAUCGUAAAACUCUGUUAUUAGGGAAGAACAUACGUGUAAGUAACUGUGCACGUCUUGACGGUACCUAAUCAGAAAGCCACGGCUAACUACGUG